rnacentral:rRNA from 1 species
UGGGUUUGAUCCUGGCUCAGAACGAACGCUGGCGGCGUGGUUGAUACAUGCAAGUCGAACGGGAAAUGAGCCUUCGGGCUCAGAGUAUAGUGGCGGACGGGUGAGUAACACGUGAUCAAUCUGCCUCUGAGAGGGGGAUAGCCAUUCGAAAGGAUGGGUAAUACCCCAUAAGACCACAGCAUCGCAUGGUGCGGUGGUAAAAAGGUUGGGAUCUUCGGACCUUCUGCUCAGAGAUGAGAUCACGCCCUAUUAGCUUGUUGGUGAGGUAACGGCUCACCAAGGCAGCGAUGGGUAGCCGGCCUGAGAGGGUGGACGGCCACACUGGAACUGAGACACGGUCCAGACUCCUACGGGAGGCAGCAGCGCUGAAUUAUUCGCCAAUGCGCGAAAGCGUGACGGUGCGACGCCGCGUGCGGGACGAAGGCUUUCGGGUCGUAAACCGCUGUCAGGUCUUAGGAAACUGUAGUCGUUAAUAGCGGCUGCACUGACCAGGACCAGAGGAAGCACAGGCUAAUCUCGUGCCAGCAGCCGCGGUAAGACGAGAUGUGCGAGCGUUGUUCGGAAUCACUGGGCAUAAAGGGUGCGCAGGCGGUCUGGCAAGUCAGAUGUGAAAUCCCCCGGCUCAACCGGGGAAUUGCACUUGAUACUGCCAGACUUGAGAGUGAAAGGGGCAAGCGGAAUUCCAGGUGUAGCGGUGGAAUGCGUAGAUAUCUGGGAGAACGCCGAUGGCGAAGGCAGCUUGCUGGGUCACUUCUGACGCUCAUGCACGAAAGCCAGGGGAGCAAACAGGAUUAGAUACCCUGGUAGUCCUGGCUGUAAACGAUGGGUACUGGGCUCCGGGAAUCCUGAUGUUCUCGGGGCCGUAGCUAAUGCGUUAAGUACCCCGCCUGGGGAGUAUGGUCGCAAGGCUAAAACUCAAAGGAAUUGACGGGGGCUCACACAAGCGGUGGAGCAUGUUGUUCAAUUCGAAACCACGCGAAGAACCUUACCUGGCCUUGACAUGCUGGAUGUACGAACCUGAAAGGGUUAGGACCGGUAUCCAAUCCGGAACCAGCACAGGUGCUGCAUGGCUGUCGUCAGCUCGUGUCGUGAGACGUUGGGUUAAGUCCCGUAACGAGCGAAACCCCUGUCGUCUGUUGCUACCGGGUCAUGCCGGGCACUCUGACGAGACUGCCGGUGUUAAACCGGAGGAAGGUGGGGACGACGUCAAGUCAUCAUGGUCCUUACGGCCAGGGCUACAAACGUGCUACAAUGGCAGGUACAGAGAGAAGCAAUACCGCGAGGUGGAGCAAAUCUUCAAAACCUGCCCCAGUUCGGAUUGGAGGCUGCAAUUCGCCUCCAUGAAGUUGGAAUCGCUAGUAAUCGCGGAUCAGCAACGCCGCGGUGAAUACGUUCCUGAGCCUUGUACACACCGCCCGUCAAGCCAUCCAAGCUGGAAGCACCCGAAGUCCGGCGCCAAUAGUCCGGCCGAAGGUGAGUCUGGUGAGGAGGACUAAGUCGUAACAAGGUA